AGGUCUCCGUAGGUGAACCUGCGGAGGGAUCAUUACACAAAUAUGAAGGCGGGCUGGAACCUCUCGGGGUUACAGCCUUGCUGAAUUAUUCACCCUUGUCUUUUGCGUACUUCUUGUUUCCUUGGUGGGUUCGCCCACCACUAGGACAAACAUAAACCUUUUGUAAUUGCAAUCAGCGUCAGUAACAAAUUAAUAAUUACAACUUUCAACAACGGAUCUCUUGGUUCUGGCAUCGAUGAAGAACGCAGCGAAAUGCGAUAAGUAGUGUGAAUUGCAGAAUUCAGUGAAUCAUCGAAUCUUUGAACGCACAUUGCGCCCUUUGGUAUUCCAAAGGGCAUGCCUGUUCGAGCGUCAUUUGUACCCUCAAGCUUUGCUUGGUGUUGGGCGUCUUGUCUCUAGUUUUGCUGGAGACUCGCCUUAAAGUAAUUGGCAGCCGGCCUACUGGCUUCGGAGCGCAGCACAAGUCGCACUCUCUAUCAGCAAAGGUCUAGCAUCCAUUAAGCCUUUUUUUCAACUUUUGACCUCGGAUCAGGUAGGGAUACCCGCUGAACUUAAGC
rnacentral:rRNA from 1 species